rnacentral:misc_RNA from 1 species
CAGGAGCCACCUGGGAUAGAA